CCCUGCCCACACUAACUUCAAGGGGAGUACGUGGCUCUAAAUCAUCACACAAUCCACUCAAAGUCCAAAAAAAAAAAAAACCAAACCCAAAAGUAUGUCUGUGAGUAUUCACGAACAUUAACUUCUCACAAGGCAGCGGGUCAUGUGCUCAGCAGCUGAGCGCCGGCGUGGAGCUGCACUGGGAGAGGAGCACGCUGACAAGUGGGACCGAAGUGUGUUACUGCCUGGCUGAAAACUUUAUGAGAAAUCGCUCCCGGAUCUUUUAUGGGAACUUCAGCAGUCACAUUUUGGAAGCUGUUACUUAAUAUGAUGUCACUGGGUCUGCAGUAUGAGAGACAAAUCUUUCAGUCCUGGAAACAGCCAUGGGACACGUUUUCCUUAACAUUUUCAGUUGGGAGCUACAAGUGCCUUUUUAACCUGAUUUCCCAAAGUGCAAGGUUCACACAAUCUUAUUUUCUGCCUGCCAUCUGCAAAAAAAAAGGCCUCAACCAAAUUUGAUAGAUGAUCAGAAGUCUCAAAACCAAUUAUGAUCACAGGAGGUUUGUGAAACCUAAUGGCUUGAGAAAAAGCCCAACUUAUUGACUUAUGAACAGGAAACAAAUAUUUGACUUGGCAGCAACCAGCUUGCCAGUCAGUGCAUGUGACGGCCAGUCAGUCGGUGUGCACCUAGCCAAAGCACUGCUACCGCUUGGUGACUUGGCAUGUCACAGAGGAAGAAAAUAAUGCCUUAUGAAAAUAAUAAAAGGACCUUUUAAAAGUCUGCAGCUUUGGCUGCCAAUUUCUAAUAAAGGCUAUGCAUCAGAAUUCAAUAGAAUUUAACCAAUAGAAGAUAUUUAUCCGAAUUUGAUGAUUACUUAAAAAUGUAAUUGAUAUCUUACAGUGAAGGACAAAGAGUUAUACAUUGAAAACCAAUAUAUAUCCUUGUAAGCUGUCCAAAGCACAAAAUGCCUUUUGUCUCUGUGAAGGUCUAUCGAAGGCGAUGGUGCUGGUGAACAGGACGGCAUCCCUCAGGGACACUCCUGUCCUCUAGUGCAGUUUCUCAACAACUGCUUAAGGACUUUACUUUUGUCUUGCCAUUCACCCCAUUUUCCUAGCACCACCCACUUCAGUUUUGGGGCCAGACUCUCAAGGGGCUUCAGGCACCUAAUUCCCACUGAAAUAAAGGGUGGUUAGAUGCCUAAACACUAGGUGCAUCUGGGGCAAGACUGCUGCCUCUGCCUGAGAGCA